GGCCUGUUGAUUAUGAUUUCAGGUCUAGCCUGCCCUAUGAGUAGUUAAAUGGCCGCGGUAUAUUGACCGUGCAAAGGUAGCAUAAUCAUUAGUUUUUUAAUUGAAAGCUUGUAUGAAAGGCAUGAUGAGGAAAAUUUCUGUCUCUGUGGAAAAUUUAUUAGAAUUUUAUUUUUAAGUGAAAAAGCUUAAAUUAUCAUUGAAGACGAGAAGACCCUAUAGAGUUUUAUAUUUUAUUAAAUUUAAGAUUUUUUGGUAUCAAGAAUUUAGGAAUUAAUAAAGUAUUUUGUUGGGGUGAUAGGAAAAUUUAAUAAACUUUUCUUUAAAUCAACAUUUAUUUAUGAUUUUAUGAGCCUAGAGUUUAGAUUAUAAGAUUAAAUUACCUUAGGGAUAACAGCGUAAUCUUUUUUAGAGUUCUUAUCGAAAAAAUGGGUUGCGACCUCGAUGUUGGAUUAAAAUUUAUUACUGGUGCAGAGGCUGGUAAAUUAGGUCUGUUCGACCUUUUAAAAUUUUACAUGAUCUGAGUUUAAACCGGUGUGAG
rnacentral:rRNA from 1 species